CCCUUAGAUGUUCUGGGCCGCACGCGCGCUACACUGAUGCAUUCAACGAGUUUCUUCCUGGUCCGAGAGGAAUGGGUAACCUUUGGAAAGUGCAUCGUGAUAGGGAUAGACUAUUGCAAUUAUUGGUCUUCAACGAGGAAUUCCUAGUAGACGUAGUUCAUCAGACUGCAUCGAUUACGUCCCUGCCCUUUGUACACACCGCCCGUCGCUCCUACCGAUUGAAUGCUCAGGUGAGCCAUUCGGACUUUCAUCAUGCUGGUUUCCAGUUUUGAUGAAGGAAAGUCUUGCGAACCUUAUCAUUUAGAGGAAGGAGAAGUCGUAACA
rnacentral:rRNA from 1 species